UACGUAGGGUGCGAGCGUUGUCCGGAAUUAUUGGGCGUAAAGAGCUCGUAGGCGGUGUGUCGCGUCGGCCGUGAAAACCUGCAGCUUAACUGUGGGCUUGCGGUCGAUACGGGCAUCACUGGAGUUCGGCAGGGGAGACUGGAAUUCCUGGUGUAGCGGUGAAAUGCGCAGAUAUCAGGAGGAACACCAAUGGCGAAGGCAGCUCGCUGGGACGGUACUGACACUGAGACGCGAAAGCGUGGGGAGCAAACAGG
rnacentral:rRNA from 1 species